UGCUGAGCCUGCUCCAUCACAACCCCACCAUCACCUCCAAACCACCUUUUUUCUCAUGGGCAUUCCCUCACCUUCUUCAAUUUCUGGGCCAUUUUAAAUGAAGUACCAGGAGGAGAGAGGAGAUUUCUUCCUAUGAGUAGAGGCAAGACUUUCAUAUCUGGCUGAAACAUGGGGAUGGAGAAGGAGAUUGACUGGAAGGAUAAGAUUUGGGGACAAAAAUGCCAAGAUUCAAGGAUGGGAUUUCAGAACAUUUGCACACUGAGCAGUGAAGAUAAAACGUAAGUGCUCACUAGGAGGGCACAUUUCAAACUGUUGCUCAUGGCUCAGUGCCCUGAAGAGACAGC
rnacentral:lncRNA from 1 species